rnacentral:rRNA from 1 species
AGCGAACGUUUGCGGCGGGCCUUACACAUGCAAGUCGAACGAGAAGCCUUCGGGUGGAAAGUGGCGCACGGGUGCGUAACACGUGGGUACCAACCCCCCAGUACGGGACAACAGAGGGAAACCUCUGCUAAUACCGUAUACGUCAGCAAUGGGAAAGACCCGCAAGGGUUGCUGGGGGACGGGCUCGCGGCCCAUCAGCUUGUUGGUGAGGUAAUGGCUCACCAAGGCGAAGACGGGUAGCUGGUCUGAGAGGAUGAUCAGCCACACUGGAACUGAGACACGGUCCAGACUCCUACGGGAGGCAGCAGUGGGGAAUAUUGCGCAAUGGGCGAAAGCCUGACGCAGCCACGCCGCGUGAGCGAUGAAGGCCCUCGGGUCGUAAAGCUCUGUGGGGAGAGAAGAAGAAAGCCAGUGAAGAGCUGGCCCUGACGGUAUCUCCUUAGCAAGCACCGGCUAACUCCG